rnacentral:rRNA from 1 species
UCCAAUUAUUUAUAGCCUCUGGCUAUAGGAAAUUGUUAGUGGCAGACGGGUGAGUAAUGCGUAGGAAUCUACCUAGUAGUACGGAAUAGCCAUUAGAAAUGGUGGGUAAUACUGUAUAAUCCCCGAGGGGGAAAGAUUUAUCGCUAUUAGAUGAGCCUACGUUAGAUUAGCUAGUUGGUGAGGUAAUGGCUUACCAAGGCUAUGAUCUAUAGCUGGUCUGAGAGGACGAUCAGCCACACUGGAACUGAGAUACGGUCCAGACUCCUACGGGAGGCAGCAGUGGGGAAUAUUGGACAAUGGGCGAAAGCCUGAUCCAGCUAUGCCGCGUGAGUGAAGAAGGCCUUCGGGUUGUAAAACUCUUUCAAUAGGGAAGAUAAUGAC